AGUCUUCCAGGAGUUGCAGAAAGAUCACAGCCUGGCGAAGUUUUCAAACAUUUACGCCACAGCUCUACAAAAUCUGUCUGCCACAAACAGGUUGUCAAGUGUGGAAGAGAAUGUUGAAAAGACUCCCGAGGAGGAGAAAGACAGCAUGCCUGAAGAGAUGCAGCCGAGUGAAGGUUUGGACAGCCAGCCAACCAGCCCCGUCCCAUCAUUGGAACCAUUGGACUCCCCCUUGCCAGAAGAUCCACCCGUGCAAGAGGGAAAAAGGCCGAAGAACCAAGCGACCCAGAGGAAGAGUUGCCUUCCAUGAGUGCUUCUGGUGCUGAUGCUGGAACUGGAACGGCCACUAGUUGUGAAAUAGAUCCUAUUCUGGAAGAUCAAUUGUUCUUCCUUUGGCCUAGCUUGAAGAUUUGGACCUCUUCUGAUGGUUACCUUCUUGGUCCUGUCUGCCCUUUUACACUUUAGACAUCAAGAUUGCCGUUCCUGAAAGUCUCUUUCCCCAGCAGUGCCACCCAAAGAAGGGGCAGCCCUUUCCCCAGGCCACAGCAAUGGGGGAGGAGAUUUUCAGCAGCCUCUGAGCAGGACGGCUCUUCCUCUGCCCAGAGGGGAAAGAAAGGGCAAGGAGGACCAACCCACUGUUUCCCUGGUCUU